AGUCCCGUAGCUCAGCCUGGUUAGAGCACUACACUGAUAAUGUAGGGGUUCGUCCAGUUCAAAUCUGGACGGGUCUACUA
rnacentral:tRNA from 1 species